rnacentral:rRNA from 1 species
CAACUUUCAACAAUGGAUCUCUUGGCUCUCGCAUCGAUGAAGAACGCAGCGAAAUGCGAUACGUAAUGUGAAUUGCAGAAUUCCGUGAAUCAUUGAAUCUUUGAACGCACCUUGCGCCCCUUGGUAUUCCGAGGGGCAUGCCUGUUUGAGUGUCAUUG